rnacentral:rRNA from 1 species
UGGUGGGUAGUUUGACUGGGGCGGUCUCCUCCUAAAGAGUAACGGAGGAGCACGAAGGUUAGCUAAUCCUGGUCGGACAUCAGGAGGUUAGUGCAAAGGCAUAAGCUAGCUUGACUGCGAGAGUGACGGCUCGAGCAGGUGCGAAAGCAGGUCUUAGUGAUCCGGUGGUUCUGAAUGGAAGGGCCAUCGCUCAACGGAUAAAAGGUACUCCGGGGAUAACAGGCUGAUACCGCCCAAGAGUUCAUAUCGACGGCGGUGUUUGGCACCUCGAUGUCGGCUCAUCACAUCCUGGGGCUGAAGUAGGUCCCAAGGGUAUGGCUGUUCGCCAUUUAAAGUGGUACGCGAGCUGGGUUUAGAACGUCGUGAGACAGUUCGGUCCCUAUCUGCCGUGGGCGCUGGAGAAUUGAGGGGGGCUGCUCCUAGUACGAGAGGACCGGAGUGGACGCAUCACUGGUGUUCGGGUUGUCAUGCCAAUGGCAUUGCCCGGUAGCUAAAUGCGGAAGAGAUAAGUGCUGAAAGCAUCUAAGCACGAAACUUGCCCCGAGAUGAGUUCUCCCUGACCCUUUAAGGGUCCUGAAGGAACGUUGAAGACGACGACGUUGAUAGGUCGGGUGUGUAAGCGUAGCGAUACGUUGAGCUAACCGAUACUAAUGAACCGUGAGG